UAAUUAUGUACACCUGAUAUAGGGUGUUGAUGUCAUUAGACCACACCCCUUCUCAUUACAGAAAUGCACAUCACCUAAUAUGCUUAAUUGGUAGUAGGCUUUCGAGCCUAUACAGCUUGGAGUAAGACAACAUGCAUAAAGAGGAUGAUGUGGUCAAAAUACUCAUUUGCCUAAUAAUUCUGCACUCCCUGUAUAGUUGGAAUUUUCAUAGAUGGUCAUAUGUCUGAUUUUGUGGCAUUAUAGCCAUUUGACUGUUCAAAUAAUCACACAAGGGCCUUCCAUUUGAGAAAGCAGACACCCCAGUGUAUCUUAUUAGGCAUAUAUUGUAC